AGAGAGAGACAUGCGUGCAUAUCAAUAAGCGGAGGAAAAGAAACUAACUAGGAUUCCCUUAGUAACGGCGAGUGAAGCGGGAAGAGCUCAAAUUUGAAAUCUUCAAGGUUUUACCUUGACGAAUUGUAGUUUAAAGAAGUGUUUUCUGUUGGAGUUUUGGUAAAAGUUCUUUGGAAUAGGACAUCAUAGAGGGUGAGAAUCCCGUAUUUGACCAUUAUUUUACAGCUGUGUGAUACACUUUCAAAGAGUCGGAUUGUUUGGGAAUGCAGUCCAAAAUGGGUGGUAAAUUUCAUCUAAAGCUAAAUAUUGGCGAGAGACCGAUAGCGAACAAGUACCGUGAGGGAAAGAUGAAAAGAACUUUGAAAAGAGAGUUAAACAGUACGUGAAAUUGUCAAAAGGGAAGCGUUUGACACCAGUGUUGUUUUCUCGAAAAUCAAUUAAGAAUGCCAUUAUUUUGUGGUAGUAUUGACUUUAUCAGGCUUGCUGCACUUUUUUCUUGGAACUUUUUAAUGCACUUUUCGGUUAACAAGUCAACAUCAAUUUCUUUUGUUGUAAAAGAGUCAUUGAGGAAGGUGGCUUUCUUUUCGGAGAAAGUGUUUAUAGCCUUUGUCCUCUGCAAUCGGAGAGAUUGAGGUCUGCAGCGUAGAUCCUUCGGGGUUAGAUACAUUUGUGCUAAGUUAUAGCCUUUCAUAGACAACUUGUUGACUAUGAUCAGUCAUGUAGCUUACUCGCUUAUGUCAUUUUACCUACGCUUAGGAUGUUGACAGCAGUAUAGACUGU
rnacentral:rRNA from 1 species